GUGUUUGCUUCAGCAGCACAUACACUAAACGGAAUGAUACAGGGAAGAUGAGUGUGGACCCUGUGUCAGAACAGCAUGCAAAGUCAUGAAGCACUUCAUUUUCUU
ensembl:snRNA U6 U6 spliceosomal RNA